rnacentral:rRNA from 1 species
AUGAACGCUAGCUACAGGCUUAACACAUGCAAGUCGAGGGGCAGCAUUUUAGUUUGCUUGCAAACUAAAGAUGGCGACCGGCGCACGGGUGAGUAACACGUAUCCAACCUGCCGAUAACUCGGGGAUAGCCUUUCGAAAGAAAGAUUAAUAUCCGAUAGUAUAUUAAAACCGCAUGGUUUUACUAUUAAAGAAUUUCGGUUAUCGAUGGGGAUGCGUUCCAUUAGUUUGUUGGCGGGGUAACGGCCCACCAAGACUACGAUGGAUAGGGGUUCUGAGAGGAAGGUCCCCCACAUUGGAACUGAGACACGGUCCAAACUCCUACGGGAGGCAGCAGUGAGGAAUAUUGGUCAAUGGACGAGAGUCUGAACCAGCCAAGUAGCGUGAAGGAUGACUGCCCUAUGGGUUGUAAACUUCUUUUAUAUGGGAAUAAAGUAUUCCACGUGUGGAAUUUUGUAUGUACCAUAUGAAUAAGGAUCGGCUAACUCCGUGCCAGCAGCCGCGGUAAUACGGAGGAUCCGAGCGUUAUCCGGAUUUAUUGGGUUUAAAGGGAGCGUAGGUGGAUUGUUAAGUCAGUUGUGAAAGUUUGCGGCUCAACCGUAAAAUUGCAGUUGAAACUGGCAGUCUUGAGUACAGUAGAGGUGGGCGGAAUUCGUGGUGUAGCGGUGAAAUGCUUAGAUAUCACGAAGAACUCCGAUUGCGAAGGCAGCUCACUAGACUGCAACUGACACUGAUGCUCGAAAGUGUGGGUAUCAAACAGGAUUAGAUACCCUGGUAGUCCACACAGUAAACGAUGAAUACUCGCUGUUUGCGAUAUACAGUAAGCGGCCAAGCGAAAGCAUUAAGUAUUCCACCUGGGGAGUACGCCGGCAACGGUGAAACUCAAAGGAAUUGACGGGGGCCCGCACAAGCGGAGGAACAUGUGGUUUAAUUCGAUGAUACGCGAGGAACCUUACCCGGGCUUAAAUUGCAUUUGAAUAAUCUGGAAACAGGUUAGCCGCAAGGCAAAUGUGAAGGUGCUGCGUGGUUGUCGUCAGCUCGUGCCGUGAGGUGUCGGCUUAAGUGCCAUAACGAGCGCAACCCUUAUCUUUAGUUACUAACAGGUCAUGCUGAGGACUCUAGAGAGACUGCCGUCGUAAGAUGUGAGGAAGGUGGGGAUGACGUCAAAUCAGCACGGCCCUUACGUCCGGGGCUACACACGUGUUACAAUGGGGGGUACAGAAGGCAGCUACCUGGCGACAGGAUGCUAAUCCCAAAAACCUCUCUCAGUUCGGAUCGAAGUCUGCAACCCGACUUCGUGAAGCUGGAUUCGCUAGUAAUCGCGCAUCAGCCAUGGCGCGGUGAAUACGUUCCCGGGCCUUGUACACACCGCCCGUCAAGCCAUGAAAGCCGGGGGUACCUGAAGUACGUAACCGCAAGGAGCGUCCUAGGGUAAAACUGGUAAUUGGGGCU